ensembl:lncRNA C19orf48P multidrug resistance-related protein
GUUUAUUACUUUUUCCGGCUGUGUGGAAAGACGCACGUGUCCUGAAGGGUUCGAGGCUGCGACGGGAGCGGCCAUGUAGUCGCGUGGAAAGGGUGCAGCUUCAAGCUUAGGACCACCCACCAUGCCUAUCCAGGUGCUGAAGGGCCUGACCAUCACUCAUUAAGAACAGAGGAGGCUGCCUGUUACUCCUGGUGUUGCAUCCCUCCAGACACUCUGCUGUUUCCUGCCUAGGCGUGGCUGCAGCCAUGGCUAGGAAAGCGCUGCCACCCACCCACCUGGGCCAGAGCUGGUUCUGCUCCUGCUGCAGGGACACUGAGCUGGCUAUCUCGGCGCUUCGGGCAAGAACUGCAACAGGCUCUCCUGGGUCCUGCAGGUGUACAGCCGGGCCCCUGCCUUGUGCCUCAGCUCUCGAGAGCUGCUGCUGCCGGGUGACCUGAUCCAACCUGAUAAGGUGCCAUCUUCAGCUACCACUGCAAGGCCCUGAGGGCAACAGCAGCACGGCACUGCCCACCCGGCUGCUGAUGGCCUGGUGCCAGCUGGGAGUCCUCCCGGCACUUCGAGGCCACUGAGCCACCCUUCCAGCCCCAGCCCACCAUGGACAGGGGUAUCCAGCUUCCUCCUCAACCUCGUCCUCUGCCCCUGAGCCAGUGACGCCCAAGGACAUGCCUGUUACCCAGGUCCUGUACCAGCACUAGCUGGUCAAGGGCAUGACAGUGCUGGAGGCCGUCUUGGAGAUCCAGGCCAUCACUGGCAGCAGGCUGCUCUCCAUGGUGCCAGGGCCC